UGCAAGUCGAGCGGCAGCGACUUAACUGAACCUUCGGGGAACGUUAAGGGCGGCGAGCGGCGGACGGGUGAGUAAUGCCUGGGAAUAUGCCCUGAUGUGAGGGAUAACUAUUGGAAACGAUGGCUAAUACCGCAUAAUCUCUUCGGAGCAAAGAGGGGGACCUUCGGGCCUCUCGCGUCAGGAUUAGCCCAGGUGGGAUUAGCUUGUUGGUGAGGUAAUGGCUCACCAAGGCAACGAUCCCUAGCUGGUCUGAGAGGAUGAUCAGCCACACUGGAACUGAGACACGGUCCAGACUCCUACGGGAGGCAGCAGUGGGGAAUAUUGCACAAUGGGGGAAACCCUGAUGUAGCCAUGCCGCGUGUGUGAAGAAGGCCUUCGGGUUGUAAAGCACUUUCAGUAGGGAGGAAGGUAGUGUAGUUAACACCUGCAUUAUUUGACGUUACCUACAGAAGAAGCACCGGCUAACUCCGUGCCAGCAGCCGCGGUAAU
rnacentral:rRNA from 1 species